UACGGAGGGUGCAAGCGUUAUCCGGAUUCACUGGGUUUAAAGGGCGCGUAGGCGGCCUUCUAAGUCAGACGUGAAAUCCCCCGGCUUAACCUGGGAACUGCGUCUGAUACUGGGAGGCUUGAGUAUGGGAGAGGGAUGUAGAAUUCCAGGUGUAGCGGUGAAAUGCGUAGAUAUCUGGAGGAAUACCGGUGGCGAAGGCGGCAUCCUGGACCAUAACUGACGCUGAGGCGCGAAAGCUAGGGGAGCAAACGGG
rnacentral:rRNA from 1 species